UCGCGAGGUAGAGCAGUUGGCAGCUCGUCGGGCUCAUAACCCGGAGGUCGCAGGUUCGAGUCCUGUCCUCGCUAA
rnacentral:tRNA from 1 species